GUGGGGGAAUUGAAGAAAGCCGUUCAAUGGAAAAAAGCCCGAGGCCAUGGGAGAGAGCUUCCUGCGCUUGAAUGAAGCCCUGACACCAGGCCCGUCGGAAUGAAUGGGCCUGACCUCCCCUCCCCCCUCUCCCCUCCUAGGCUGGCAAGUCCCACCGACUCGACUCGGCAGUGGAAGGCUAGGGGUUUCCACCGAAAUGGUGAACCGGCCCCCUUGUCCACAGGAAAACCACACACGGGUACAGCCUAGGCCGGAUCUCGGGCCAAGUCGUCAGGGUGGCAAGAUGAUGGCGGAUGAGAGGAAACUUGUUCUGGGACCGCCCCGCCCCCCCCAUCGCCUCUCUGGCUGAGAAGAGGGCCGGGGAGCGGCCCGAGUCUGAGCUACGACAGAUUCCCCUGUGGCUCGACCCGCAACCUCCCAUCCUGCCAGACCAGACCCCUUGUC